CACUCUCACUACAUACAUACGUGUAUGUUGUCGGCGAUUAGCCUAGCAAUGAUCUUAAUUGUGGUUAUUUGUCAGCCCAAAACCCUCUAAGUAUAUCUUAAAUGCAUCUUACCGGAUAUAAAAUGACUACUACAUAGUCUGUGGUGAUUUUUUGGUGCCCAGUUUUCACGUCGAAUUGCAGCCGUCCAUUUCGCUCUCCUCUUUGGAUCCCUCGGAAUACGGUAAAACUUCAAGUCUCUCCUUCCAUCUUCUCUGUUAGUGCAACCAACAGCCAAACACGCCUUCACCAUUUUGAUUAUUAAUGUUAAGGAGCAGAAAAACACGCCGUAAAUAGGAGGAAUGUACGUAGCCGUAACAGGUUAACACUAUGUUUUGACGGACAAUUGGGCGGUACCAUUCAGGAGAGCGGAGUUGUGACGUCACGUGGGUAGGGUCUAUAUAUAGAGCUAAAAGGCAGCGUAUAAUUAGUAGAGAGAAUUUUGACAGCCUUUGAAGCCAUUUUGUAUUUGGCUGGAGCCUUACAAUCCCUCUCUCAGCAAUUAAAAAUAUUGUGAGCGGUAAUGUGGGUAAGAAAGGUAGUAGUUGAUCAUUUUCUUAACACCCUAUGUUCUUUCCCAACGCAGAGAAGAUAUAUGAAAUGGUGCCCCUACGCACAGUCAUGGUUGCACUUCCCAUCAUGCAUUUGGGCAGAACAGUUAAAUGGGUGCAGUAUCAUUUACUGAAAGCUCAACAAAUACACUAGAUGGCAAUAUUUAGUCACAAUAUACAAAGUCACAUUUAUCCUUUAAGAAUUACAAGUCUUUCUAUCCGUGGAUCCCUCCCACAGAAAGAAUGUUAAUAAUGUAAAUGCCAUCUUGAGGAUUUAUUGUCAUAAUAAACAAAUACAGUACUUAUGUACUGUAUGUUGAAUGUAUAUAUUCGUCCGAGUUUUAUUCAUUUUUUUCUUAAUGCAUCGCCAAAAUGUAUAUGAUCGGGAAAAAUUAUCGGGAAUGAUUGGAAUUGAAUCGGGAGCAAAAAAAAAAAAAAAAAGCAAUCGGAUCGGGAAAUAUCGGGAUCGGCAGAUACUCACACUAAAACGAUCGGGAUCGGAUCGGGAGCAAAAAAAACAUGAUCGGAACAACCCUAAGUUACAAAAUAUGGGAAGACAAUCUAAAUAACCUAUAUAACUGAAGACAUUAUAUAAUGCAACUAAGGUUUCUUAAAAGUGGGGACAAUUUAAGAAUACUGAAAAGUUGGUAGUGUUAUGUCCCUACCAUCAAACGUGGAGAUUAUGGGAGGGUGGCUUAAAAUGUCAUUGCAUAUAAUUGACUUUCCAAUACUAUAUAGGAAUUUGAAAUUAAGAUUUUGCCGGUAAAAUGUUGUCAAUAAAAGUUCUAAAGCAAUAAAACUAACAACAAAAAUGAAUGAAAUGAACAAAAAAAAAAUAAUGGGUCAAAAUUAUUUUUCAAACAUCACGUGACUAGCAUCUUAUAGAAGGCCAUUUGCUUUGCUUAACCCCCCCCCCCCCCCCCCAAAAAAAAAACACCUGAGGACAGAAGAAGCAAGAUGGGUAUUGGUAAUUUUUUUCAAACCUAAGCUUUCAAAAGAAACAACAACUACUGAGCGGGAACCAAGGAUUGAAGAUGUGGCCCAUGAGACGCUGGCGCCGGAGUUUCAGUUUGCUCCACUGAAGAUGUUAACCCUCAAAAAUCAUGGGGGGGGGGAACGCUCAUUUUCAACAUAUUACCGUAUUGGCCCGAAUAUAAGACGGCCCUGAUUAUAAGACGACCCCCUCUUUUUCAAGACUCAAGUUUGAAAAAAUGCUUUUUGAACACCAAAUUAGUUUUUAUACAGAAAAUAAUUACAGUACAUCCGAAACAAACGAUUAUAACAAUAAACUUGAGAGAAAAAGCAUGUUAUUUUGCCUCAUUCAAAUCUUAAUAUCUGAACAUUUAAAUAUGUAAACUAAAGUGCAAUCACAUUCGUAAAUGAAUGGCUUCUGGUUUUUGAAAUGUAAAUAAACCAAUCUAUUGUGAUAAAACAGCAAAAUUGCAAUAACUGCAUUAACCAUCAAAGUGAAGUAUAACUGUAACUGUAGUCUUGAAACAAAUCCGAGUAAGGAAAAACAUUGCAAUAAAAUAAUGCAAACUGGUUAAACUUGAGAGUAGCCGAGAUCUGUCAUGACAGAACAUCGCUUCAAUGAUAUCUGGCGCCAUCUAGCGUCGUGAAUGGGGAGAGUAGCUGAGAUCUGUCAUGACAGAACACCGCUUCAAUGAUAUCUGGCGCCAUCUAGGGUCGUGAACGGGUAUAAUGUCUAGACCGUGAAUAUAAGACGACUUGCCUGGCACGGCCAGACUGUUUGCCCUGUGUUUUUCAAACACUGAGAGUAUAGUCUGGGACCCAGCCCAUUAACGGCCUCUCGAGCAAGUACAAAAUCAAUCGACAAAUCUGAUUCGUUUAUUUGCGUGACGUGUUCUUGACGAGCAACGUCACUCUUCCGCGUCGGAAGUCGUCUCCACAACAACACAGAUGGCGAACAGGAGAGCCGAGUAUAUGUUCCAAUCCACGGUAAAAUCAGUUUUAAAUGACCAAAAACACAUCGACACAAGUAAUUGACAACAGUCUGUCUCGCGCUAGCCAUGUUGAAUAAACUCCGCUCUCCUCGUAUGUUUACUUCCGCGCGCAAGUCCUUCGUUCCGCCCGAUGCUGAUUGGUCCACUCCGCUGUCUGUUUGCUGUGGCUUGCUCAGCCCUGGAAAUUUUAUCUGCUUAAUGGUGGCCAGACUCAAUAGCUGGAACAGUGGUGAGUCUGGAGUACCAGGCUAUAAGACGACCCCCUCUUUUCCACUCUUAUUUCAAUGCAAAAAACACCGUCUUAUAUUCAGGCCAAUACGGUAUUAUAAAUGUUCCUGGUUGGAAUAUUCAGUCAAAACGGAUGCAGCGUCUACUUCUCCACUAGGUAAGACUGGAAUACGCGCGCACUCACGCACGCACACACAGCUGGGAUGCCUGUAUGUACGAGCUUGAGCUAAGCUACUAUCCGAGCAUAUAUCUUGUAAGGUAAUUUUAUUGCUGACUCUGCGUUUCGGGGUCAUCAACUUUUUUGAAAAGUUGCCACCGUCCAAAAACUGUGCGCUAUAUUAUUAUAAAACUAAUAAUACAACAAUACUCUAAUGAUAAUUAAUUUGGAAAUAAUAAUAUAUAAUAUUUAUGGGUUUAAUUAUGAAUUAUCAAAUAAUUACAAUUAUUAAAUAAUCACUUGCCUUAUAAAGGGAUUAAAAUUUUACAUGUCAAUUAUUUGAAUAGCUGUCCACUGUAGCAAUCACUGUCCCUUAAAGGGUUAAAAAAAAAAAAAAAAAAAAACUUUUGACAUGACAUUUUGGCCCGUGUUCACUGCUCCAUUGCUUCCAUCCAUUCUGAUUUAAAGUGCGCGCUCCCUUUUAUUUAUGGUCGCAGGGGCGCGCGCAGUCACAUCCAGGGAUCGAGACGUCUGCACUUCAUUUGGUCUGGAAAGACGCAGGCAGGCAGAGCCAAGUUUAGGGGUCACCUCAAACAGCCACUUGGAUGUUUGAUUUUUAAAUUUUUUUUUUAUGUGGAUUAUAUCGAGAAACUGCUGAUUCUGCGGUAGUUCACUGUGAAUGGCAUCACUUUCUCACAUAUUUCUGAAGAACUAAAUAACUAGGUUACUUCUAGCCUGGUUCUCAUUUAUGGCUUGGAAGUAAAAUAUUUUUUUCGAGGCAUGGUUGUGAGCUCCAGCCGAGAGCAGGGAGCGACACCCGGGCUCCGUCAGUGUACCCUCGCCCCUUCCCGGAGCCUCCUCGGCGGACCUGCGAGGAGAUGAGACCCGUGCUCUACCAAGUCCUCGCCGGCUGUCUUUGCCUCUUACGAGCUGCCGCUGAGGAGUCUCAAAUUCCCCGGGAGCUCGUGGAGCGUCUCUCCCGAAGCGACAUCCGGAGCAUCAACGACCUCCAGCGGCUGCUCGAGAUAGACACCGUAGAAAACCAAGUGAUUGAAGAGACCAAACACGACUAUGGCAAGGUCGUCUCUCACGCCUUCGUGGACUUCAAGCGUGCGUACACGCAUGCACGUUACAGGCGAAGUACUGUGGUCGAGGAGGCGUUGCCGGCAGGCUGCAAGGUACGGAGCACCAUCUACGAGAUCCCUCGCAGUCAAGUGGACCCCACUGCUGCCAACUUCAUCAUUUGGCCGCCGUGCGUGGAGGUCAAACGCUGCACGGGCUGCUGCAACACUAGCAACAUGCGGUGUCAGGCGGCCCGCAAGCACCACCGCACCGUCAGGGUGGCGAAAGUAGAGUAUAUUCGCCGUCGACCCAAAUUAAGAGAGGUGCAGGUCCGACUGGAGGACCACCUGGAGUGCGCAUGCGCCUACAAGCGGCAGCUCGCACCAAUCUCGAACACAGACAACGGCAUCAGGUGAACACAACGGACAGUCGUUGGAAUUAGAGCAGCAGUUGGGACAACAAGAACAAGAUAAGGAUAUACACACUCUUAAGCCUUCUAGCAUUCUGUUUACGGAAUUUUCCAUAGAGGAAGUAAUGAUGUCAUCUUUCAAGACCUAUGAUGGAUUUUUUGACCCCCAAGACGUGCGGGCCAACUGAAGGCCUGGAUAAAGAAUCGGGAUGAGAAGCGAGGUGGGACUUCUUGUAUAACCCUCUCAUCGUCUUGGAUUAUAAACUGGGAUGAAUCCUCUCCGGAGGCUGGGAUUAAGACUUUUUAUAUAUAUAUGUUCUGACAUUUAUCUUGCACAACGUGUACGCUCAUGUUUGUAUAACCCUCUAUCUUGUGAUUUGUUACCGUCACAAGGACGGCAGGGAAACACCCUCCUGACAUGUAACCGUAACUAAUAAACUAUUUAUACGGGAGUAUGUUUCUCUAAAAGGAAUACAACAGGCUAGUGUGUGUGUGUGUGUGCGGUGGUGCGUGUGUCUGUGUGAGAGGGAGAUUAUGUGCAGGAUCAUAAUGCUGAAAUUUCCACCCAGUUGUAAGUGAGAACAGCACGCAACGACAAGACCCCAUAAGAAGACUGCUAAGGGGAAGGAAAACGAGGCUGUCUGCCAGAUAGUCGAAGCUAAACAAAGGAUGGAGGCUGCAACAAGACAAUGAUCCAAAACACAGAAGUAAAUCAACUUCAGAAUGGUUUCAGAAGAACAAAAUACACGUUCUGGAGUGGCCAAAUCAAAGUCCAGACUUGAACCCUAUUGAGAUGCUGUGGCAUGACCUAAAGACAGCGAUUCAUGCCAAACAUCCCAGGAAUCUGACUGAACUACAGCAGUUUUGUAGAGAAGAAUGGGCCUGAUCGAUGUGCCAGACUGAUCUGCAGCCACAGUAAGAGUCUGGUUGAAGUUAUUGCUGCCAAAGGGGGGCCCACAAAAUAUUAAAUGUAAUGGUUCACUUACUUAUUUCCCCCCUUCUGUCAUUGUUUGCAUACUAUCCUCAUUAAAAUAUGAAAACCUAUAAAUGUUUGGGUGGUUUUAGUUGAAGCAGAUACUGUUUUAUCAUCUGUGUGAUUCUGACAAAGAUCGGAUCACAUUUGAUGGUGAU